rnacentral:rRNA from 1 species
CCUACGGGGGGCAGCAGUGGGGAAUUUUGGACAAUGGGCGCAAGCCUGAUCCAGCUAUUCCGCGUGUGGGAAGACGGCCUUCGGGUUGUAAACCACUUUUGUAGAGAACGAAAAGUCUGUUGAUAAUACCGAUAGAUGAUGACGGUACUCUAAGAAUAAGCACCGGCUAACUACGUGCCAGCAGCCGCGGUAAUACGUAGGGUGCGAGCGUUAAUCGGAAUUACUGGGCGUAAAGGGUGUGCAGGCGGUUUUGCAAGAUGGAUGUGAAAGACCCGGGCUUAACCUGGGAAAGCCAUACAUGACUGCAAGACUAGAGUGCGUCAGAGGGGGGUGGAAUUCCAAGUGUAGCAGUGAAAUGCGUAGAUAUUUGGAAGAACACCGAUGGCGAAGGCAGCCCCCUGGGACGCAACUGACGCUCAUACACGAAAGCGUGGGGAGCAAACAGGAUUAGAUACCCCUGUAGUC